UCUGGGACAAGCCCUGGAAACGGGGUCUAAUACCGGAUAUCACCCUCACGGGCAUCUGUGAGGGUCGAAAGCUCCGGCGGUGAAGGAUGAGCCCGCGGCCUAUCAGCUUGUUGGUGAGGUAAUGGCUCACCAAGGCGACGACGGGUAGCCGGCCUGAGAGGGCGACCGGCCACACUGGGACUGAGACACGGCCCAGACUCCUACGGGAGGCAGCAGUGGGGAAUAUUGCACAAUGGGCGAAAGCCUGAUGCAGCGACGCCGCGUGAGGGAUGACGGCCUUCGGGUUGUAAACCUCUUUCAGCAGGGAAGAAGCGAAAGUGACGGUACCUGCAGAAGAAGCGCCGGCUAACUACGUGCCAGCAGCCGCGGUAAUACGUAGGGCGCAAGCGUUGUCCGGAAUUAUUGGGCGUAAAGAGCUCGUAGGCGGCUUGUCACGUCGGGUGUGAAAGCCCGGGGCUUAACCCCGGGUCUGCAUUCGAUACGGGCUAGCUAGAGUGUGGUAGGGGAGAUCGGAAUUCCUGGUGUAGCGGUGAAAUGCGCAGAUAUCAGGAGGAACACCGGUGGCGAAGGCGGAUCUCUGGGCCAUUACUGACGCUGAGGAGCGAAAGCGUGGGGAGCGAACAGGAUUAGAUACCCUGGUAGUCCACGCCGUAAACGGUGGGAACUAGGUGUUGGCGACAUUCCACGUCGUCGGUGCCGCAGCUAACGCAUUAAGUUCCCCGCC
rnacentral:rRNA from 1 species